UACGAAGGGGGCUAGCGUUGUUCGGAAUCACUGGGCGUAAAGCGCACGUAGGCGGAUCUUUAAGUCAGAGGUGAAAUCCCAAGGCUCAACCUUGGAACUGCCUUUGAUACUGGGGAUCUUGAGUCCGGGAGAGGUGAGUGGAACUGCGAGUGUAGAGGUGAAAUUCGUAGAUAUUCGCAAGAACACCAGUGGCGAAGGCGGCUCACUGGCCCGGUACUGACGCUGAGGUGCGAAAGCGUGGGGGAGCAAACAGGGAUUAAGAAACCCC
rnacentral:rRNA from 1 species